GGGAAGGUAGCUCAGUGGUAGAGUGCUUGACUUGUAUGCAUGAGGCCCUGGGUUCGAUUCCUCAGCACCA
rfam:Dipodomys ordii contig_2590, whole genome shotgun sequence.